rnacentral:rRNA from 1 species
GCGGAGGAAAAGAAACCAACAGGGAUUGCCCCAGUAACGGCGAGUGAAGCGGCAAUAGCUCAAAUUUGAAAUCUGGCUCUUUCAGGGUCCGAGUUGUAAUUUGCAGAGGGCGCUUUGGCGUCGGCAGCAGCCUAAGUUCCUUGGAACAGGUCAUCAUAGAGGGUGAGAAUCCCGUAUGUGGCUGCUUGUCUUCGCCGUGUAAAGCCCCUUCGAUGAGUCGAGUUGUUUGGGAAUGCAGCUCUAAAUGGGAGGUAAAUUUCUUCUAAAGCUAAAUAUUGGCCAGAGACCGAUAGCGCACAAGUAGAGUGAUCGAAAGAUGAAAAGCACUUUGGAAAGAGAGUCAAAAAGCACGUGAAAUUGUUGAAAGGGAAGCGCUUGCAGCCAGACGUGCCCGUAGUUGCUCAUCGGGGGUUCUCCCCCGUGUACUCUUCUAUGGGCAGGCCAGCAUCAGUCCGGGCGGUUGGAGAAAGACCUGUGUCAUGUAGCUGUUUUCGGGCAGUGUUAUAGGGCAGGUGGAAUGCAACCAGCCUGGACUGAGGUCCGCGCAUCUGCUAGGAUGCUGGCGUAAUGGCUGUAACCGGCCGCAGUU